CCUACGGGCGGCAGCAGUGGGGAAUAUUGCACAAUGGGCGCAAGCCUGAUGCAGCCAUGCCGCGUGUGUGAAGAAGGCCUUCGGGUUGUAAAGCACUUUCAGCGGGGAGGAAGGCGUUAAGGUUAAUAACCUUGUCGAUUGACGUUACCCGCAGAAGAAGCACCGGCUAACUCCGUGCCAGCAGCCGCGGUAAUACGGAGGGUGCAAGCGUUAAUCGGAAUUACUGGGCGUAAAGCGCACGCAGGCGGUCUGUCAAGUCGGAUGUGAAAUCCCCGGGCUCAACCUGGGAACUGCAUUCGAAACUGGCAGGCUAGAGUCUUGUAGAGGGGGGUAGAAUUCCAGGUGUAGCGGUGAAAUGCGUAGAGAUCUGGAGGAAUACCGGUGGCGAAGGCGGCUCCCUGGACAAAGACUGACGCUCAGGUGCGAAAGCGUGGGGAGCAAACAGGAUUAGAUACCCGGGUAGUC
rnacentral:rRNA from 1 species